GAUGAACGCUAGCUACAGGCUUAACACAUGCAAGUCGAGGGGAAACGAUAGAGAAAGCUUGCUUUUUCUAGGCGUCGACCGGCGCACGGGUGAGUAACGCGUAUCCAACCUGCCCACCACUUGGGGAUAACCUUGCGAAAGUAAGAUUAAUGCCCUAUGUGGUGUUUUGAGGACAUCUGAAGAGCACCAAAGGUUUACCGCUUAACGAUGGGGAUGCGUCUGAUUAGGUUGUUGGCGGGGCAACGGCCCACCAAGCCUACGAUCAGUAGGGGUUCUGAGAGGAAGGUCCCCCACAUUGGAACUGAGACACGGUCCAAACUCCUACGGGAGGCAGCAGUGAGGAAUAUUGGUCAAUGGGCGAGAGCCUGAACCAGCCAAGUAGCGUGCAGGAAGACGGCCCUAUGGGUUGUAAACUGCUUUAUAGGGGAAUAAAGUGAGCCACGUGUGGUUUUUGCAUGUACCCUAUGAAUAAGGACCGGCGUAAUUCCGUG
rnacentral:rRNA from 1 species